GGAUAGUGUAGGUGUCAGGGUGUUCGACUCCCAGUCGAAAGGUUCUGGGUUCGAUCCCCAAUGUCCCCA